UUCCCCAAAUUGUCUCCUUCCCCAGCCCUUCCUCCCAAGGUUUUUGGUUUGUAUUUUUGCCCCAACUGUUUUUCCUUGCCCCCAGGAACCAGAGGCUAAUAAUGUCCUUUCCUUUAAAUGUUUUCAAGAGAAGUUCCAAGUUAGGCAAAAUAAAUGUAAGUCCUUUGGGCUCAUCCUUCAGGGAGCCACCAGACAGGUAAAAAUAAACAAUUUUUAUUGUUUGUUCUUUGACAAUAAGAAAUAGGCCCCCUUUGCUUCCUCAGUACUAGGAAACCAUACUGGGAAUAUGGGUUAUCUUCAAAGCUGUUGCUGAGCAGGAGACAGAGCCAGCACAAGUUAAAACACUACAAAGCCCUUUUACUGGGACUCAGGGAGUUUUUUGUUUCCUUUUUCCUCAUUAAGGGUUUGCCGGGUUACUAUAAACUUUUGAUUAGUUUUGAGAGUUCCAACAGUUGAUUCUGACAGAUUUUGCUGGUUAAUUUGCUGCUUUCGUGGAGGGACAAGCUUUUGUCAUUGUUUAUUAUACUAUUUUCACUGACAUACCCUCUAUUUUUUUAAAUGUGGGUUGCAGCCUACUAAUGAAUUAGUCUCUACGGUUUGAAAAAAUUGUCUGAUAUCCUUGUUGUUCUAAAAAAUAUAUGAACUAAGUAGUUAGGGGAAUUCCAUUCUAAGAGUAUGUUGAUUUAACUCUGUUCACUUUAACAAAGAAGUCUGAAAAUAUAACCGAAGUUUUGUUUCACCAGCCUUCAAAUGUCUUGGCAAAAUUGAGGACACUGCUUACCAUGUGUGUUAUUAGGAUAUCCAGGAGUUAGUGAUAUAGGAUCCCAAUUAUAGAUGUGUUCAUGUCCACAAAGUCCUCGUACUUAAGGGAUAUUUGUACUGUGCAAUUGCUUCUUAGAAUGAUGUUGCUGAUAGACUGUCUUGUCCUUUGCUUCAGCUUUGGGACAUCCGGAAGAAAGCAGCCAUCCAGACAUUUCAGAACACGUACCAGGUGUUAGCUGUGACCUUCAAUGACACAAGUGAUCAGAUUAUUUCUGGUGGAAUAGACAAUGAUAUCAAGGUCUGGGACCUGCGCCAGAACAAGCUAACCUACACCAUGAGAGGCCAUGCAGAUUCAGUGACUGGCCUGAGUUUAAGUUCUGAAGGCUCUUAUCUUUUGUCCAAUGCAAUGGACAAUACAGUUCGUGUCUGGGAUGUCCGGCCAUUUGCCCCCAAAGAGAGGUGUGUAAAGAUAUUUCAAGGAAAUGUGCACAACUUUGAAAAGAACCUUCUGAGAUGUUCUUGGUCACCUGAUGGAAGCAAAAUAGCAGCUGGCUCAGCCGACAGGUUUGUUUAUGUGUGGGAUACCACAAGCAGGAGAAUAUUGUAUAAGCUGCCCGGCCAUGCUGGCUCUAUCAAUGAAGUGGCUUUCCACCCUGAUGAGCCCAUCAUUAUCUCAGCAUCGAGUGACAAGAGACUGUAUAUGGGAGAGAUUCAGUGAAGAUAUGGACUGGAAGACUCCAAGGCCGCUUGUCUUUGAGACCUCAGACUGCAUAAGUGACGCCAAAUGUUGGAUGUCCAGGCUGGCACCCUCCCUUCAGAUGACCAUUGCUAGCAAGAAACAGGAGGCGGUGGCCAUAUUCCAAAAACCACUUCUGUCCCAUUUCACCAGGAUGACUAAGGCAAGCUCCCUGUGGCCUCUAAAAACCACCUGCCAGAUUUCAGGGACUGUUUUAUUUUUUUCUUUUUCUUUUUUCCUGUUUUCUAAUGCAGGCCCAAUGUGACAAAUUUGUUGGUUGGGAUUUUUUUUUUUUUUUUUUUUUUUGUAACUGGCUUGUGUGAUAUUUUCUUUCUGUAUUUCUCUAAAUCAUUUUGUAUUAAAAGCCAAAUAGAUGCCUUUUUACAAG
rnacentral:sRNA from 1 species